rnacentral:rRNA from 1 species
AGUGAUUAUCUGGUUGAUCCUGCCAGUAGUCAUACGCUCGUCUCAAAGAUUAAGCCAUGCAUGUGUAAGUAUAAAUAAUUUUACUUUGAAACUGCGAAUGGCUCAUUAUAUCAGUUAUAGUUUAUUAGAAAUACUUUACUACUUGGAUAACCGUAGUAAUUCUAGGGCUAAUACAUGACUAAAUCCUCAACUUCGGAAGAGGUGUGUUUAUUAGUAUGAAAACCAUAUAUCUUCGGAUGUAAUAGUGAGUAAUAAUAACCUUUCGUAUCGUAUGUCGUAAGAUAACGAUAGUUCUUUCAAGUUUCUGCCCUAUCAGCUUUCGAUGGUAGUAUAUGGGACUACCAUGGCAGUAACGGGUAACGAAGAAUUUGGGUUCGAUUUCGGAGAGGGAGCCUGAGAGAUGGCUACCACAUCCAAGGAAGGCAGCAGGCGCGUAAAUUACCCAAUCCUGACAUAGGGAGGUAGUGACAAUAAAUCACAAUGCGGAACUAUUUAGUUUUGCAAUUGGAUUGAGAACAAUGUACAAAUGUUAUCGAUAAACAAUUGGAGGGCAAGUCUGGUGCCAGCAGCCGCGGUAAUUCCAGCUCCAAAGCAUUUUUAC